UUGUUCACCAAACGCUCGCUGAGCCUCUACCUCCCAUUAGAUCAGGUCUGAGCUGAUCUAGAUCUUCCAUCGCUGACCUAUAGCCGCCGAGCUCCUUCCCUGACCACUUCACCAUCUCUGCCGCCUCCAUCUCCGGCGUCUACAUCGCCAUCAAGAACAGCCUCGAUGUCGAACCCACAAGCCCUCCAUCUCCGCCUCCAUUGCGCUGACCCUCUUCCUUCAAAACAAAAACAUAAAUCCAUCGCUGCCACAACCACCAUCAAAGCUGAACCCACAAGCCCAAACCUCUUCCUCUUCCUCUUCUCCAGAUGGGUUUGUGAUCGAAGAGAUAAAUGGGUCAUUGAACCAACCGACAGUGGUGGUUGAAGAAAAGAAGCUGAAUCGGACGGCUGAGCUCGCUGCUUCGACUGGUGGAGCUUUGGCACUCACUGUGCUUUGUAACAAAGCUCACUCACUCUAAACUCUCUCUCUCUCUCUAAAACCCUCCCCAAACCCUAGCCUCCUCCUCUCUCUCUCUCUUGCUUCCAUGGAGUUUUGGGCUUGAAGGUACCCGUUGUUCUACCUACCCUGUUGUUGAAACUGUUUUUGGGUAGCCAUUGCAGGCGAGCCAGCCUGUGGUGUCUACUUCUAGAGUUUCCUCCAUUGUAGAGAAAGAGUUACCAAUGGAGCAAGAGCAAUGUCACAUUUGUAGAGUUACAAGAAACAUGGGAGACAUAAGCUGAAUUGAGAGAACCAUCCAAACCAAGCGACUGGUCUCACUAGUACUAAGUCUCAGUAAGCUUUAGUCAUGGACAGGACAAUCCUCACCUCUGAUAAAUCAUCCAACUCAUCCCCAUUGAACCCUCCUUCCCGGAUAAUUUGUCAUGUGUGCCAGAAGCAAUUAACAUAAUAUACAUGCCCUCGUUGCAAUUCACGAUACUGCUUCCUCCAGUGCUACAGGGUAAGUGGAAUUUGCCACGUUUUAAAAACGCGGCCAGAGGACCUUUUUUUUGUAGUGUUGGUUUGUUCAUGUGUAUGGGAGAGCAAUUAAUGAACCAAUAAGUAAUGAUUUGAUUCAAGAGAGGGAAUUAAUAAAAAGAACUAGAAGAAGACUUUAAAUAACAUUGGUAGAGAUAUUAAAAAAAUGACAGUUUGGAUGCAAACUAGUUUGGAGGAAUUCCUCCAAUUGGGUAGGUGGUACCAUAAGAAGGAGACAAGUGUUCUGGUCAUGACUAGAUUAAGUGAACUAACAACCCCUAAAAUGUUAACAAUGUUAAACUUUCCCCCUUCCCCUUAUUAUUUUAUUAUUUGUGUGUCUUGGUAACUAAAAUAAA